rnacentral:rRNA from 1 species
UCAUCGAAUCUUUGAACGCACAUUGCGCCCGGUGGUAUUCCGCCGGGCAUGCCUGUUCGAGCGUCAUUAUAACCACUCAAGCCUUGGCUUGGUAUUGGGGUUCGCGGUUCCGCGGCCCUUAAAAUCAGUGGCGGUGCCGGUGGGCUCUAAGCGUAGUAAAUCUCCUCGCUAUAGGGUCCCUCCGGUUGCCUGCCAGAACCCCCCCAUUUUUUCAGGUUGACCUCGGAUCAGGUAGGGAUACCCGCUGAACUUAAGCAUAUCAAUAAGCGGAGGAAAAGAAACCAACAGGGAUUACCUCAGUAACGGCGAGUGAAGCGGUAAUAGCUCAAAUUUGAAAGCUGCCAACAGGCCGCGUUGUAAUUUGUAGAAGAUGCUUUGGGGGUCGGCCUAGUCUAAGUUCCUUGGAACAGGACGUCAUAGAGGGUGAGAAUCCCGUAUGUGAUUAGUGCCGGCUCCCGUGUAAAGCUCUUUCGACGAGUCGAGUUGUUUGGGAAUGCAGCUCAAAAUGGGUGGUAUAUUUCAUCUAAAGCUAAAUAUUGGCCAGAGACCGAUAGCGCACAAGUAGAGUGAUCGAAAGAUGAAAAGCACUUUGGAAAGAGAGUUAAACAGUACGUGAAAUUGUUGAAAGGGAAGCGCUUGCAACCAGACUUGCAGGCGGUCGAUCAUCCGAGGUUCUCCCCGGUGCACUCGAUCGUCUUCAGGCCAGCAUCGGUUUUGGUGGCGGGAUAAAGGCUCUAGGAAUGUGGCUCUUCGGAGUGUUAUAGCCUAGGGUGCAAUGCCGCCUACCGGGACCGAGGACCGCGCUUCGGCUAGGAUGCUGGCGUAAUGGUUGUAAGCGGCCCGUCUUGAAACACGGACCAAGGAGUCUAACAUCUAUGCGAGUGUUUGGGUGUCAAACCCAUACGCGUAAUGAAAGUGAACGGAGGUGAGAGCCCUUUAGGGCGCAUCAUCGACCGAUCCUGAUGUCUUCGGAUGGAUUUGAGUAAGAGCAUAGCUGUUGGGACCCGAAAGAUGGUGAACUAUGCGUGAAUAGGGUGAAGCCAGAGGAAACUCUGGUGGAGGCUCGCAGCGGUUCUGACGUGCAAAUCGAUCGUCAAAUUUGCGUAUAGGGGCGAAAGACUAAUCGAACCAUCUAGUAGCUGGUUCCUGCCGAAGUUUCCCUCAGGAUAGCAGUGUUGUUUUCAGUUUUAUGAGGUAAAGCGAAUGAUUAGAGGCCUUGGGGUUGAAACAACCUUAACCUAUUCUCAAACUUUAAAUAUGUAAGAAGUCCUUGUUGCUUAA